CACAGCCACUGCCUGGGCACUCUUUUAUGUGGAGCAGCUCAGCCUGGAGCUCGAAGCCGGAAGACUUUGGAAGACCUAGUGUCCUAUCUGAGCUUCCUGAUGGCAUCAGGCAAUCUGGCUUAUAAAGAUAAUCACAAAGCCAAGAAGGCAAGAGCAAAUGUACCUCUGAAAACACAAGAAAAUUAGACAAAUAAUGACAAAUAAAU
rnacentral:lncRNA from 1 species